CCAGACUCCUACGGGAGGCAGCAGUAGGGAAUCUUCCACAAUGGGCGAAAGCCUGAUGGAGCAACGCCGCGUGUGUGAUGAAGGCUUUCGGGUCGUAAAGCACUGUUGUAUGGGAAGAACAGCUAGAAUAGGGAAUGAUUUUAGUUUGACGGUACCAUACCAGAAAGGGACGGCUAAAUACGUGCCAGCAGCCGCGGUAAUACGUAUGUCCCGAGCGUUAUCCGGAUUUAUUGGGCGUAAAGCGAGCGCAGACGGUUGAUUAAGUCUGAUGUGAAAGCCCGGAGCUCAACUCCGGAAUGGCAUUGGAAACUGGUUAACUUGAGUGCAGUAGAGGUAAGUGGAACUCCAUGUGUAGCGGUGGAAUGCGUAGAUAUAUGGAAGAACACCAGUGGCGAAGGCGGCUUACUGGACUGUAACUGACGUUGAGGCUCGAAAGUGUGGGUAGCAAACAGGAUUAGAUACCCUGGUAGUCCACACCGUAAACGAUGAACACUAGGUGUUAGGAGGUUUCCGCCUCUUAGUGCCGAAGCUAACGCAUUAAGUGUUCCGCCUGGGGAGUACGACCGCAAGGUUGAAACUCAAAGGAAUUGACGGGGGCCCGCACAAG
rnacentral:rRNA from 1 species